rnacentral:rRNA from 1 species
ACGGAGGAUCCGAGCGUUAUCCGGAUUUAUUGGGUUUAAAGGGUGCGUAGGCGGACCCGUUAGUCAGUGGUGAAAGUUUGCAGCUCAACUGUAAAAUUGCCAUUGAAACUGCGGGUCUUGAGUGUAAAUGAGGUAGGCGGAAUGUGUUGUGUAGCGGUGAAAUGCUUAGAUAUAACACAGAACACCAAUUGCGAAGGCAGCUUACUAGGAUACAACUGACGCUGAGGCACGAAAGCGUGGGGAUCAAACAGGAUUAGAUACCCUGGUAGUCCACGCAGUAAACGAUGAAUACUAGCUGUAUGCGAUAUACUGUAUGUGGCAAAGCGAAAGCGUUAAGUAUUCCACCUGGGGAGUACGUUCGCAAGAAUG